AGAGUCGGCCAAGCAAUCGCGGGCAAUAACUUCGGUUCAUUGUUCGAGGAAAGUCCGGGCUCCAUAGGGCAGGGUGCCAGGUAACGCCUGGGAGGCGCGAGCCUACGGCAAGUGCAGCAGAGAGUAGACCGCCUAAGUUUAUUUAUCUUCACCGAUAGAUAAACCGGUAAGGGUGAAAGGGUGCGGUAAGAGCGCACCGCGCUACUGGUAACAGUUAGUGGCAA
rnacentral:RNase_P_RNA from 1 species